rnacentral:snRNA from 1 species
CCUCAUUUCCAAAGCACAC